GUAUACAUUGUAUGUAAAUAGUGUAUAUUUCAUGAAAUUAUUUCCUUAAAACCCAACAGGAUUUGGAAAAACUAAAUACAUGAAUACAAUAAUGAUGGAAAGUAGAAAUAAAAAAUACUUUAAUAUUUUUGUGAAAAUGAAUGAUUGCAAAGUUAAAGGGUAAUCAAAUAGUGCAAUUUGCUACAAUUCUUUGUAAGAAUUAUCUCCCUUGGGCAGUUUUUAUAGGUGGCGCUAGUAAAAUAAAAAUGGCAGCCUCCAUGGCAGAUCGCUUUGCAAAAUUGUAUUGGAGCAAUGGGCAUUAUUUAUUGCAAAUCUCUGGGUGAACUGACAUAAAUUGCAUAAAAGGACUUCACAAGAACAGAACUAUGGAUGCAAGCACGUGUAAACGAAGUGAAAAAUCUGAUGAGAGAUACCGUGACGGUGAGCUGUAGCAGCAACUUGUGUAUAACAUGUCUAUGGAAUUACUAUACUCGUAUUGAUCAAGGUAAUGACAAUUUUUUCAUACUGCCGAUAUCAGUAUGAACAAUGUCAGAAGUUCAACUACAAGGCCCUCCAGCUGAAUGCAAAAGUAAGCCCACAGAGAGACCGUCCACACCGCUUAGGCACUUACUCAACUUGGAAGGCAUAUGCAAGCAAUAUGUAAUGCCAAGUGACUGAAACAGAAGAGUUUUAUCUCACAGUCAUGAACUGGAAGAUGACGAAACAUUUCAAUGAAAUCUCUGGAAAUGACAUCAUCAAAUAAACAAAGACUGGAGUUCAGAAGACCAGUUCAACACUUUGGAUAAAAUUUAUCAGGCAGUGACUUUCAUCUUCGACUUCCAUGUAUUUAUAAGCACUAAAGAUUACAGUUUUAUGUCUUGGUAUAAGACUAUAAGAGACUACUAAACAAAUGGUAGUUGUUGAUUUCAAAAGAAAAACUGUGUUGAAUUCUGAUACUCUGUUUUACAUAUUUCCCAGUAGUGAGAUUUUAAAUGAAAAGAUUUAUUUUUCAUGAAUUCAACUUUGUUGAAAUUUUUUGAAAGUCAUUUGAAUAUAUGAUCAACCUGAAUGGCAAACAUGUGUAAUGUGUGAAAAAUAUCGCUCAGAUCAUGAAUAUAUUUACAUGUACUAGUUAUGAUUGAGUGGUGAUGAUUGAUAUGUAUUACAUGUACAAAAAGGACAACAUAAAAUAUAUAUCAGUGUGUAAAUAAAAAUCAUGUUGUAUAUUAUACAAUUUAGGAAGAUUUUCUUCUUCACUUUAAUGAUUUUUCUAAUUGAAGAAUACAGUAUUCUCUGACCUCAAAAACAGCCUCAGAUAUUUGAUAUUUUCAGGUUUUAGCACUUUUGGAUUAUCUCCCCUUUUCAGUUAAAUUAGAGCAUCUUAGUCGGCAGACAUAAAAAUUAUUACAUUGAUUAACUGGAAAAAAAAGCAUAGAAUUGUGUUGUAUUUGAACUUGCAAAUUUAAAACAAUUGUUUUGAACUGUAAUAUUCAUUUUACAUGCAGGCAUCUAUGGCGUAUACUGGACGUUGACAGAGAAAAGUAAAAUCGCUCUUUUUUGUUAGAAAUCAUCCCCCAACCCACCCCCAAUAUUAAUACAUGCAAUAAUUUACACAAAAAUGUUUUAAUUUCAUAUACCAUAUAGUAUGAUGUCUUUUGCAAAAAUGCAGCUUUUUCUGUUGGCUGUUUGAUUUUUAUAUUUUUGAAAAAGUGAAAAUCCUCUAAAAUCUAUAUUUUUGUUUUUUGCAUAUUUGGAUUAUCUCCCCUUUGCCAGUAUAAAAUUAGAGAAAUUUUACAGGGCAUGAGUAUGACAAUACCUAUUUUUGAAAAAGGUACCUGUGUUGUUGUAUUUAUAGUUAAAAUAAAAAGAAUUUUUUUUAGUUUCAGUUGUAUACCCUGUAUUUCUUUGGCAUAUGGACUUCGACAAAAAUAGUAUUAAAAAAUUUUCUUUUUUGUUCGAAACUCAUCCAUAAUAUUUUCAGAUGUUCAUGAUAAUUUGCGCAAAAAUGUUUUUAUAUUUUUAUAAGCUUCAGGGUAUGAUGUCUGUGGAAAUAGUACAGUCUUUUAAUUUGAGUGUUGUUUUUUUUAUUUUUUGAUAGCUGAAAAUCUCCUAAAAUUGAUAUUUUCAUGAUUUUGCACAUUUUGGAUUAUCUCCCCUUUUCAGUUCAAAAUUAGAAAGUUUCACUGUUCAUGAAAGUGUUUUGUUAAAUUGCAAAAAGGCACUUGUGUUGUUGUAUUUUGAAUUGAAAAUAAUAAGAAAUUGUUUAGAAAUGUUAUAUUAAUUUCAGAUGUAUAUAUCUAUGGCAUAUACUGGACUUUGACAAAAAUAGUGAAAUUUCUCUUUUUUGUAUGAAAAUCAUCUAUAAUUUUCGGAUAUUUAAUAUAAUUUGCACAAAAAUGUUUUUAUACUUUUGUAAGCCACAGGGUAUGGUGUAUUUGGAAAAAACAUAAUCUUUUGAUUUGGCUGUUGGGUUUUUAUAUUUUUUAAUAGCCGAAAAUCACCUUAAAAUCAAUAUUUUCAUGUUUUUGCAUAUAAGCAUUAUCUCCCCUUUUCUGUCUAAAAUUAGAACACCUUACUGGACAUAAUUAUAUUACAAUUAUUUAUGACAAGUUACUAGUUGAGCUGUAUUUUAAUGAGAAAUAAACAUAAUUGUGAUAUCUUUUCCUAUCUUGUUUUAAUUCAAACUUGAAAAUUGGCAAUUUUGCAUAUUUUUUAAGGGAAUUUCAGUCAUUAUAGGCCGAAAAGAGUAUUUCUGUUGCCAUGGAAACCAGACGCUGAUUUGAAAAAAAAAAUAUUUAUUUUAGGAAGUCACUAAGCAUACUC